UACGUAGGUGACAAGCGUUGUCCGGAUUUACUGGGCGUAAAGAGCGCGCAGGCGGUCGUUCAAGUCGAGUGUGAAAGCCCCGGCUCAACUGGGGAGGGUCAUUCGAUACUGAUCGACUCGAAGGCAGGAGAGGGAAGUGGAAUUCCCGGUGUAGUGGUGAAAUGCGUAGAUAUCGGGAGGAACACCAGUGGCGAAGGCGACUUCCUGGCCUGUUCUUGACGCUGAGGCGCGAAAGCUAGGGGAGCAAACGGGAUUAGAAACCCCGGUAGUCC
rnacentral:rRNA from 1 species